UCCUACUUUUAUGAGAGAGAAGCUCCUCUCACUCUCUACCACGCCGUUGCUGCACGCGGUGGAAGACCACCGCUGCUGCCCUCUCUCCGUCCGUUCUCGCCGGCCGCCUCUUCCCCGGUUUCGUCAAGCAAGAUAUCUCAUGGAGGGGGUAAUGCCAAAGGAACUACAACUAGGCCAAUCUAUUUCCUCAAUAAUCUCACUAUGGUGAUGGCUUCUGAUUUCUGGCAGCGAUCUGGAAUAUUCAUUUACUCUGCUUAUGCAAAAUUGAAUUGAGUUAAUUAGGAUUCUUGUUUUACUACCGAUUUUGGAGAAAUGGCUAGCUGUUGUGCAAAUUAAAUGUGGAUAAUACCAUAAAUAUGUAGAAUAUGCAGGUAGGUGAAUUGUAAAAGAGUUGUCACUUCAUCUGGCUUGUCACGGGUGGAUAAAUUCCAAAACAUCGUGUCACUUUUUUUUCUCUUUUUAUUAAAUUCCAAUAUAUUUGUGAUA